rnacentral:rRNA from 1 species
UUAAGCGACUAAGCGUACACGGUGGAUGCCCUGGCAGUCAGAGGCGAUGAAGGACGUGCUAAUCUGCGAAAAGCGCCGGCGAGGUGAUAUGAACCUUUGACCCGGCGAUGUCCGAAUGGGGAAACCCAGUGCAAUCCGUUGCACUAUCGUUAACUGAAUACAUAGGUUAACGAGGCGAACCGGGGGAACUGAAACAUCUAAGUACCCCGAGGAAAAGAAAUCAACCGAGAUUCCCCCAGUAGCGGCGAGCGAACGGGGAGCAGCCCGGAGUCUGAAUCAGCUUGUGUGUUAGUGGAACGGUCUGGAAAGUCCGACGGUACAGGGUGAUAGUCCCGUACACGAAAGCACACUUGCUGUGAACUCGAAGAGUAGGGCGGGACACGUGGUAUCCUGUCUGAAUAUGGGGGGACCAUCCUCCAAGGCUAAAUACUCCUGACUGACCGAUAGUGAACCAGUACCGUGAGGGAAAGGCGAAAAGAACCCCGGCGAGGGGAGUGAAAAAGAACCUGAAACCGUGUACGUACAAGCAGUGGGAGCCUCUUUAUGGGGUGACUGCGUACCUUUUGUAUAAUGGGUCAGCGACUUAUAUUCUGUAGCAAGGUUAACCGUAUAGGGGAGCCGAAGGGAAACCGAGUCUUAACUGGGCGUUAAGUUGCAGGGUAUAGACCCGAAACCCGGUGAUCUAGCCAUGGGCAGGUUGAAGGUUGGGUAACACUAACUGGAGGACCGAACCGACUAAUGUUGAAAAAUUAGCGGAUGACCUGUGGCUGGGGGUGAAAGGCCAAUCAAACCGGGAGAUAGCUGGUUCUCCCCGAAAGCUAUUUAGGUAGCGCCUCGUGAACUCAUCUUCGGGGGUAGAGCACUGUUUCGGCUAGGGGGCCAUCCCGGCUUACCAACCCGAUGCAAACUACGAAUACCGAAGAAUGUUAUCACGGGAGACACACGGCGGGUGCUAACGUCCGUCGUGAAGAGGGAAACAACCCAGACCGCCAGCUAAGGUCCCAAAGUCAUGGUUAAGUGGGAAACGAUGUGGGAAGGCACAGACAGCCAGGAUGUUGGCUUAGAAGCAGCCAUCAUUUAAAGAAAGCGUAAUAGCUCACUGGUCGAGUCGGCCUGCGCGGAAGAUGUAACGGGGCUAAACCAUGCACCGAAGCUGCGGCAGCGACGCUUAUGCGUUGUUGGGUAGGGGAGCGUUCUGUAAGCCGUUGAAGGUGUCCUGUGAGGGGUGCUGGAGGUAUCAGAAGUGCGAAUGCUGACAUAAGUAACGAUAAAGCGGGUGAAAAGCCCGCUCGCCGGAAGACCAAGGGUUCCUGUCCAACGUUAAUCGGGGCAGGGUGAGUCGACCCCUAAGGCGAGGCCGAAAGGCGUAGUCGAUGGGAAACAGGUUAAUAUUCCUGUACUUGGUGUUACUGCGAAGGGGGGACGGAGAAGGCUAUGUCAGCCGGGCGACGGUUGUCCCGGUUUAAGCAUGUAGGCGGAGGUUCCAGGUAAAUCCGGUACCUUGUUAACGCUGAGGUGUGAUGACGAGGCACUACGGUGCUGAAGUGAUAAAUGCCCUGCUUCCAGGAAAAGCCUCUAAGCAUCAGGUAACACGAAAUCGUACCCCAAACCGACACAGGUGGUCAGGUAGAGAAUACCAAGGCGCUUGAGAGAACUCGGGUGAAGGAACUAGGCAAAAUGGUGCCGUAACUUCGGGAGAAGGCACGCUGAUAUGUAGGUGAAGUCCCUGCGGACGGAGCUGAAAUCAGUCGAAGAUACCAGCUGGCUGCAACUGUUUAUUAAAAACACAGCACUGUGCAAACACGAAAGUGGACGUAUACGGUGUGACGCCUGCCCGGUGCCGGAAGGUUAAUUGAUGGGGUUAGCGGCAACGCGAAGCUCUUGAUCGAAGCCCCGGUAAACGGCGGCCGUAACUAUAACGGUCCUAAGGUAGCGAAAUUCCUUGUCGGGUAAGUUCCGACCUGCACGAAUGGCGUAAUGAUGGCCAGGCUGUCUCCACCCGAGACUCAGUGAAAUUGAACUCGCUGUGAAGAUGCAGUGUACCCGCGGCAAGACGGAAAGACCCCGUGAACCUUUACUAUAGCUUGACACUGAACACUGGUCCUUGAUGUGUAGGAUAGGUGGGAGGCUUUGAAGCGUGGACGCCAGUCUGCGUGGAGCCAACCUUGAAAUACCACCCUUUAAUGGCUGGUGUUCUAACGUAGACCCGUAAUCCGGGUUGCGGACAGUGUCUGGUGGGUAGUUUGACUGGGGCGGUCUCCUCCCAAAGAGUAACGGAGGAGCACGAAGGUUGGCUAAUCCUGGUCGGACAUCAGGAGGUUAGUGCAAUGGCAUAAGCCAGCUUGACUGCGAGCGUGACGGCGCGAGCAGGUGCGAAAGCAGGUCAUAGUGAUCCGGUGGUUCUGAAUGGAAGGGCCAUCGCUCAACGGAUAAAAGGUACUCCGGGGAUAACAGGCUGAUACCGCCCAAGAGUUCAUAUCGACGGCGGUGUUUGGCACCUCGAUGUCGGCUCAUCACAUCCUGGGGCUGAAGUAGGUCCCAAGGGUAUGGCUGUUCGCCAUUUAAAGUGGUACGCGAGCUGGGUUUAGAACGUCGUGAGACAGUUCGGUCCCUAUCUGCCGUGGGCGCUGGAGAAUUGAGGGGGGCUGCUCCUAGUACGAGAGGACCGGAGUGGACGCAUCACUGGUGUUCGGGUUGUCAUGCCAAUGGCACUGCCCGGUAGCUAAAUGCGGAAGAGAUAAGUGCUGAAAGCAUCUAAGCACGAAACUUGCCCCGAGAUGAGUUCUCCCUGAGACUUUAAGUCUCCUGAAGGAACGUUGAAGACUACGACGUUGAUAGGUCGGGUGUGUAAGCGCAGCGAUGCGUUGAGCUAACCGAUACUAAUGAACCGUGAGGCUUAACCUU